CGGGAAACGGCAACGAUUGGUGGUGUUGCGGCGGACUGUAAAUCCGUUCCCAUGCGGUAAACAUUGUUGGUUCGAUUCCAACUUUCCCGA
rnacentral:tRNA from 1 species